GCACCCCCGACCGCUCCGGCGUCAGUGCAGGAGGAGUGACUGCCACCCCUGGAACGCCAGGGAGAGAUGGCCGAAGGGGCAGUGAAACCUUGGAGAAGAAGUGGACUUUGUUUCGGAACAGUGGAGUCGAGGAAAGUGACCAGAAGAAGAAACAGAGCUUUAGAGUGUCACCUUAGGCAAGAGCCCCAAAAAUAAAAAUGACUUAGUCAUGACUCCUGGGAAGCUGAUGGUAUAGCUUCACAUGCCAGAACCAGACUAACCUACAGAAAAGGAAGGACAAGGUCAGCCUACGCCAAGGUAAUCAGACUCCAUGAGAGCUGUCAGAUCAGCAUCCAAGUAUUUGGUUCAGAGACAAGCACCCCUGGGCACUAAGUAAAUGUUCACUGUGUUUCAUGAUUGAAUACUUCCUCGGCUUCCUGUGUCAUGCUCCUAAGUGAUGGGAGACAUUCCUUCUGGGAAUCUCUGCUGUCUCCCAGUCUCUGCUGUGUGGGUGGGCCCACACGUGAAUGUUAAGCUCUUGUCUGCAGAUUAAGGAUGUCCGAGGACAAGCCAUCACACCCCUAGUCUUGACUAAAAGUCGAGACUUUUCUCCCCAGGAAUAGAUUUUGGAUUUAAUAAAACUGCAAUCAA